rnacentral:rRNA from 2 species
CGCGUGAGUGAAGAAGGGUUUCGGCUCGUAAAACUCUGUUGUUGGAGAAGAACGUGCGUAAGAGUAACUGUUUACGCAGUGACGGUAUCCAACCAGAAAGUCACGGCUAACUACGUGCCAGCAGCCGCGGUAAUACGUAGGUGGCAAGCGUUAUCCGGAUUUAUUGGGCGUAAAGCGAGCGCAGGCGGUUGCUUAGGUCUGAUGUGAAAGCCUUCGGCUUAACCGAAGAAGUGCAUCGGAAACCGGGCGACUUGAGUGCAGAAGAGGACAGUGGAACUCCAUGUGUAGCGGUGGAAUGCGUAGAUAUAUGGAAGAACACCAGUGGCGAAGGCGGCUGUCUGGUCUGCAACUGACGCUGAGGCUCGAAAGCAUGGGUAGCGAACAGGAUUAGAUACCCUGGUAGUCCAUGCCGUAAACGAUGAGUGCUAGGUGUUGGAGGGUUUCCGCCCUUCAGUGCCGAAGCUAACGCAUUAAGCACUCCGCCUGGGGAGUACGACCGCAAGGUUGAAACUCAAAGGAAUUGACGGGGGCCCGCACAAGCGGUGGAGCAUGUGGUUUAAUUCGAAGCUACGCGAAGAACCUUACCAGGUCUUGACAUCUUGCGCCAACCUCAGAGAUGAGGCGUUCCCUUCGGGGACGCAAAGACAGGUGGUGCAUGGUCGUCGUCAGCUCGUGUCGUGAGAUGUUGGGUUAAGUCC